rnacentral:rRNA from 1 species
GACGAACGCUGGCGGCGUGCUUAGCACAUGCAAGUCGAACGGAAAGGCCCUGCUUUUGUUGGGUGCUCGAGUGGCGAACGGGUGAGUAACACGUGAGUAACCUGCCCUUGUCUUUGGGAUAACUUCAGGAAACUGGGGCUAAUACCGGAUAGGAGCUCCUGCUGCAUGGUGGGGGUUGGUAAGUUUCGGCGGUUGGGGAUGGACUCGCGGCUUAUCCGCUUGUUGGUGGGGUAGUGGCUUACCAAGGCUUUGACGGGUAGCCGGCCUGAGAGGGUGACCGGCCACAUUGGGACUGAGAUACGGCCCAGACUCCUACGGGAGGCAGCAGUGGGGAAUAUUGCACAAUGGGCGGAAGCCUGAUGCAGCAACGCCGCGUGCGGGAUGACGGCCUUCGGGUUGUAAACCGCUUUCGCCUGUGACGAAGCGUGAGUGACGGUAAUGGGUAAAGAAGCACCGGCUAACUACGUG